GGAUUAGUGGCGAACGGGUGAGUAMCACGUGAGUAACCUGCCCUUGACUCUGGGAUAAGCCUGGGAAACUGGGUCUAAUACCGGAUAUGACUCCUCAUCGCAUGGUGGGGGGUGGAAAGCUUUUGUGGUUUUGGAUGGACUCGCGGCCUAUCAGCUUGUUGGUGGGGUAAUGGCCUACCAAGGCGACGACGGGUAGCCGGCCUGAGAGGGUGACCGGCCACACUGGGACUGAGACACGGCCCAGACUCCUACGGGAGGCAGCAGUGGGGAAUAUUGCACAAUGGGCGCAAGCCUGAUGCAGCGACGCCGCGUGAGGGAUGACGGCCUUCGGGUUGUAAACCUCUUUCAGUAGGGAAGAAGCGAAAGUGACGGUACCUGCAGAAGAAGCGCCGGCUAACUACGUGCCAGCAGCCGCGGUAAUACGUAGGGCGCAAGCGUUAUCCGGAAUUAUUGGGCGUAAAGAGCUCGUAGGCGGUUUGUCGCGUCUGCUGUGAAAGACCGGGGCUCAACUCCGGUUCUGCAGUGGGUACGGGCAGACUAGAGUGCAGUAGGGGAGACUGGAAUUCCUGGUGUAGCGGUGAAAUGCGCAGAUAUCAGGAGGAACACCGAUGGCGAAGGCAGGUCUCUGGGCUGUAACUGACGCUGAGGAGCGAAAGCAUGGGGAGCGAACAGGAUUAGAUACCCUGGUAGUCCAUGCCGUAAACGUUGGGCACUAGGUGUGGGGGACAUUCCACGUUUUCCGCGCCGUAGCUAACGCAUUAAGUGCCCCGCCUGGGGAGUACGGCCGCAAGGCUAAAACUCAAAGGAAUUGACGGGGGCCCGCACAAGCGGCGGAGCAUGCGGAUUAAUUCGAUGCAACGCGAAGAACCUUACCAAGGCUUGACAUGAACCGGAAGACCUGGAAACAGGUGCCCCGCUUGCGGUCGGUUUACAGGUGGUGCAUGGGUUGUCGUCAGCUCGUGUCGUGAGAUGUUGGGUUUAAGUCCCGCAACGAGCGCACCCUCGUUCUAUUGUUGCCAGCGGAUCGGUCGGGGAACUCAUA
rnacentral:rRNA from 1 species